rnacentral:lncRNA from 1 species
CUCAAAAUAAAAAGAGCCGGGUUGUGCUCAGCAGUAGAACUCCCGGGGCCAAUCCUCGGGGACACACAUGCACAUCUCAGGAAGCCCCCAAUGGAGAAAGCGUGGAAAUCAGCUUUAGGUAAGAGCGGGUGCAGAUGCAGGUAAGUUGCAGGUAGGACGCUCUAAGACAUUGAAAAAUUCUAGUCUGGGGACUUGUUUUUUUCUGGAAAGCAAGAAAUCAGGGUCAUGUUCUGAGCCAAGUGAAAGUCUUCUUGUGAAAAAUUAAGGUGCACAACCAAGUCAAGUACCAGAAUGAAUGUCACCCUGCCCACGGGCUCCACUAAAAUCCUUACCCAGAAAACCAUCCUUGGUCCAUUCUGGUACACAGGGAGUGGGUAAGGGGAGACUGAAGUGUUAUACCGUGUGUUGGGGGUGGUGCCUGGGGAUGGAGCCCAGGGGUUCCCACAUGUUAUAGGAGCACUCCACCACUAGGCUUCAACCUCAGCCCCAAAGCACGAUACUAAUUAAUACAAAGGAUGGCAGUGAUUAUUUUAACUAGGAAAUUUUUCCUGCUGUACUCGUCUAUGAUCUCAUUCAAUACUUGGUAUCUUAGAACUAUUCCUUUUGCACAGACCUUCUCUCCCCAAUCAGAGUUGUGUACGUAGACUGGUUUCACACAGUGACAUACAUCAUCUAACAGCGGCACUUCUUAGAACCUAUCCCCACUGUUCGCUGGCCCGUGAGUGUAGUAGAGUUAGCCAUCAGCGGCAAGAUGACUCAUGGACUUCUGGGGUGGAAAAGCUUUAUGCAAAGACAUGAGCAUGUUCUUAUGAAAUGUUUUCAUCAGUCAUCCCAAAGUCGCUCACUAUAUAAAUCAGAAUGGUUUUAAUUACAAGUCACAGAAAACCCCACAUUUACUUGUUUAAACAAUAAAUGACAUUUAUUGAGUCACAAAACAAAGUCCAGAAGUAGGAUAGGCUUCGAGGUUAUUUUAGUUGAGAGGCUCAGUUAGGCAAACAUGAAUGCAGUGUUUCUCUUUUCUCUUGUAAGAUGCAUAGUCUCUACCUGGCUCUUCUAGGGUGUGAACAUACCCAAGACAUUGAUGACGACCAGGGACCCAGCAUGGGUUAGUUAGCUUAGUCCUGAAUCAUAUGUCCCUCUUCUAGAUCCAGGGGUAGAGACCUAUUCUUUCAAAACAUAUAGGCUCUGUGGAAAGCUAUGGAUAGCAGCAGAUUUCAACAAUGACAUCAAAAUCCAUAUGGUUAGCCUGGAGCGGAGCAUGAUUAGAAGGAGGGGAGGAAACCUCUGUUUUCACUGCACCCUCCAUGAUGAGAACCCAAAUAUCCAAAGCCAUAUGUAGGUCACCUCCCUCUUCCAUUCCACUUCCUUCACUACAAAGUAGAUCCUUCCUCACAGCAAAUCGAUAUGCGAGAAAAAAAGGCUCUACAAUGGAGUAGCUGUUCUAGGCUAAAAGAUUUUCUUAUUUCCCACACUGUUCCUAAUGAAGAUUACAUGUCAACUGAACCAGCUUAAUCCAUUAAGUGCAUAGUUGAUUGUGUGGGCUUUCAACAUGGUUUGAAAGUACUUCAGUUUUAAUGCUCUGAAAACGUCACUUCUAGUUUAAAAGUAAGUCUGAGGAACCCUCAUAAAUGGUUGGUAGAAAUGUGAUUAUAUGAUCUUUUUGGAGGGGAAUUUGGUGAUAUCUAAUCGAGUAGUACAUUUAUUAACCUUUUGACUCAGUAUCCUGCUUCAUGGUCAUACUUUCUUUUUCUUUUUUUAAUAUUUAUUUUUUUACUUGUAGAUAGACAUAAUGCCUUUAUUUUAUUUAUUUAUUUUUAUGUGGCGCUGAGGAUCGAACCUAGUGCCUUACACGUGGUAGGCAAGCGCUCUACCACUGAGCUAAAGCCCCAGCCCUCAUGGUCAUACUUUCAACUUUGCAAAAACAUAUGAAAAAAGCAUGUUGCACCAUUGUUUAUAACUAUGAAAUAUUGGAAGUAACCUAACUGCCCAUAUGCAGAAGUGUGGCUGAAUAAAAUAGGCACAGUAGCUCAUGCCUACAAUUCUGGCUACUUAGGAGGCUGAGGCAGGAAGAGCACAAGUUUGAGGUUCACCUGGCAACUUAGUGAGAACUUGCCUUAAAAAGAAAAAUUUUAAAAAGGGCUGGGGAUAUAGUCAGAGGUAUAAUGUUCCUGGUUCAAUCCCCCAUACACACCCACCAAAAUGCUACCACCAGAAAAUGGAGCAUUAUGCAGCUAUAACAAAGGAUGGCAGAGAGUUCUAUGCACUGGGGUGAUUUCCAGAAUAUAGUGUGGGAAAAUAUCAGUGGAAGGAACAUCUAUAGCUUGUCAGCUUUUACAUAAGAAAGAAGGAAAAAAGAAUCAUUGAAAAUAUACAUGUUUGGGCAAAAAGAAACAGAAUAAAUCAGAAAUUAAUGAGACUGAUUAUCUACGAAGGAUAAAAGGAAAAGGAAAUGGAUGGAAAAGAAGGGAAUGAAAAUAAGGUGAAAGGGAUGAGGUGAGGCACACUUUUGUAAGUAUGACUUUUUAACUUUUUCUUUUUGGUACUGGGGAGUUAACCCAGGUGUGCUUUGACACUGAGCUACAUCCCUGGCUCUUUUUAUUUUUUAUUUUGAACGGUCUCAGUAAGUUGCCUAGGUUGGUGUCAAACUUAUGAUCCUCCUGCUUCAGCCUCCUAAGUCACUGAGAUCACAGGAAAAAGCACAUUUCUGUUUUUAUGGAAAUUAAAUUAUGGCUAAAUGAGGACUCCCUUCUGGAUAAUUCUCACCUCCACUUCCUGUUGUUGUUCUCCUUUUCCCUCUUUCUCCUCCACUUCAUCGUGUGUCUCAGGGCUGGUUAAUUGUGCUGUUUUGCUCCUGCAGGACCCUGCUCUUACUUGUUUCUCCCCGUUUCGCCCAUUUCUUAGCGCCCACCUUACUCGGGCCGGCUCUGGCCCUGUGUGUCCAUGGGUGUCUCAGUCCCCGUGUUCUGAACGUGUCUGUGAUUCAGGGUCCUUCUGCGUGCUGCUGGGAUCCGGGACGCUCCACUGCACUUUCCUUCUGCCCCUGGCUUUUCCUCGCGGGGCGGGGGAGGGGGUGGGGGGCACGGAGGGGGGAUGGGGUGGGGGCAGGCGGACCUCCGCGAACUGCUCCUACCUGCUCUUUCCAGGUUGCCGGCUCCUGACUCGGUUCAGCAGGAGGAGGCCAGAGGGACAGUGAGGAGCUGGAGGAGGACGCCAGCGGCCCAGGCUCUCGCACCGCACUGCCUCCCCGGCUCUCCUUCCCUGCGGACCUCCUGCACAGCGCAGCCUCCCCGGCGACCUCGGGCUGGGUCCCCUCAACCCCUGGGUGGUGCGGUGACUUUCUGCUCUUACCCGGCGUGGCACCUGCCUCCUGUUUGGUAGCGCCACGUUUCGUAAGUGGUGUGACCAACUCCCUGCACUAAACUCUCUCUGUUUUAAAAUAGCAGAUGUGCUUCUGCGUUCCUGGAGAGUCUCCGGCAGGUGCGUUCAGUGUUCUCCUUUAAGGUCUCCGUCCCUGUUUGGGUUUUAAUUCUAGCUGCUGUAGAGAGGCCCACAUAUGUAUCCUUCCCCCACAUUUUGCUCAUCGACAAUGUAUAGUUUUGCUUUUCUCCAAUGUAUAUUUUUGGCACCUUUGUCUAGUGUGAAAUAACUGUAUUUAUGUGGGGAAAACCCUGUACAUUCUUAAAAGUUACUAAAGGGCUAGGAAUGUAGCUCAGUGGUAGCGGCACCUGCCUCACAUACACAAGGCCCUGGAUUGGAUCCCCAGAGAUUGAAAAAAAAAAUGUAAAGACACAAAGAGCUUUAAUGUCAAUUAUAUUUAUUGAUAUUUACUAUACUAUAAAUUGAGAAAUCGAAAUUUUAUCUAUUUGUUCAACUCAACAUGUCAACAUAAAAAUAUUUUGUUGAAAAUAUUUUGUACAAAAUAAUGGGUUCAAUCCCCAGCACAAAAACAGACAAACAAAAUAAAUCCCACAAAGACAGACAAGCAAAAAUAUCCCCAAACCCCAUUUUCUAAAACAACCUAUUAGUGGGAAGAGUUGGGAACCAGGCAAGGUGGUGCACACCUAUAAUCCCCGAGGCUCUGAAGGCUGAGGCAGGAGGAUUGCAAGUUCAAAGCCAGCCUCUGCAAUUUAGCAAGGCCCUAAGCAACUUAGUGAGAUCCUGUCUCAAAAUGAAAAAUGAAAAAGGGCUGGGGAUGUGACUCACUGGUUAAGCUCCCUUGGGUUCAAUCCACCCCUCCCCCCCUACCAAAAAAAAAAGUUGUUUGUUUUACACUUUUUUGUAAAUCUCUUUAUUGACUUAAUUGAAUGUGUAACUGGGUUUUCAUAUCUGCUUCUGAGUUCAAUCUGUUGUGAUGACAAAACACACAAAGAAAAUAAUAUCUCGGCAUUGUUAUGAACAUAGUUUUGAUUUUGUGACCACUGAAAGGUCUUGGGACUACCCAGGGGUCUUUAAGUCAUACUUUGAAAACUGGUACUUAUUGAAAUUGCG